rnacentral:rRNA from 1 species
GACGAACGCUGGCGGCGUGCCUAAUACAUGCAAGUCGAACGCAGUGGGUACGGGUGAGUAACACGUGGGUAACCUCCCAUCAGAGGGGAUAACACUUGGACACAGGUGCUAAACCGAUACUGAUGGAUGGACCCGCGGUGCAUUAGCUAGUUGGUGGGGUAACGGCGCACCAAGGCCACGAUGCAUAGCCGACCUGAGAGGGGGAUCGGCCACACUGGGACUGAGACACGGCCCAGACUCCUACGGGAGGCAGCAGUAGGGAAUCUUCGGCAAUGGACGAAAGUCUGACCGAGCAACGCCGCGUGAGUGAAGAAGGUUUUAGGAUCGUAAAACACUGUUGUUAGAGAAGCGGUAUCUAAAGAGAAAGCAACGGCUAACUACGUGCCAGCAGCCGCGGUAAUAC